rnacentral:rRNA from 1 species
CCUACGGGGGCAGCAGUGGGGAAUAUUGGACAAUGGGCGAAAGCCUGAUCCAGCCAUGCCGCGUGUGUGGAGAAGGCCUUCGGGUUGUAAAGCACUUUCAGUGGGGAAGAAAGCCUUGGGGCUAAUACCCUCGAGGAAGGACAUCACCCACAGAAGAAGCACCGGCUAACUCCGUGCCAGCAGCCGCGGUAAUACGGAGGGUGCGAGCGUUAAUCGGAAUUACUGGGCGUAAAGCGCGCGUAGGCGGUCUGAUAAGCCGGUUGUGAAAGCCCCGGGCUCAACCUGGGAACGGCAUCCGGAACUGUCAGGCUAGAGUGCAGGAGAGGAAGGUAGAAUUCCCGGUGUAGCGGUGAAAUGCGUAGAGAUCGGGAGGAAUACCAGUGGCGAAGGCGGCCUUCUGGACUGACACUGACGCUGAGGUGCGAAAGCGUGGGUAGCAAACAGGAUUAGAUACCCCUGUAGUC